AGCACUUGUCUGUGUUUUUGUUUAACUUGUGGACAAUGAUUUAUAGACAGGUGCAAAAAAAAAAAAAAAAAGAGAGAGAUCCUCUUUUUUUUU
rnacentral:snoRNA from 1 species